AUUAACAAGAGCUCAGCACACACUGUUCUUCUCAUUUUGUUCCAGCACUAUGAUACCACUAAUUAUGCGGUUGACUUUAAUACAGGCACUCUACUGCCAUACUAGAAAAAAUUGAGAAAAUAUAUUUUAAAAUGCAAGACAACACUUCCAAUACCCUGAGACAUUUUCCUGACAUGUUACAUUGUGGCCUGAUUGAUGAAACCUGAAACACUCCUUUGUCAGGCCUGCUUAAACAUGCAUCCACACACACACCUAAAUACAAUUAAGUCUUUUGUAAACACAAGAUUUACUCUCCCUCAUAUUAAACAGACCCAGAAGACAGCAUGACAUUACCUUCAAAGAACAAGAUCAGUCUUACUCUGACAAUCUGAUUCAUGGUCAGGUAUAUCCAUUUGUCUUACACAUGUGCUUAUUAAAGCUGGGUAAAUGUCAUCUGACUCAUGUGAAGUCGUUUCGCUUUCUUUGAUAAUUAAGACCUGGUUUAUGGAUGGGUGGGGUUAACCGUACAUUCAUGUCUUUGAUGGAUAUUACUCCAUGAAGAGGACCUCAGCAAAGCAAAAGCAAUCUGUCAGACAUUCUUUUCCCGGGACCCUGGCCGGCACCAUGGCACAGGUCUCACUGCAACCUCUAGUACUGACCAUCUGUCAACACUAUCCAGCAGCCAUAUCACCCUGCUGCCCAAGACUGGUUGCCCAUUGAAGCUAAGCAGGGUUGAGCCUGGUCAGUACCUGGAUGCGAGACCUCCUGGUAAAACUAGGUUGUUCCUGUAAGAGGUGUUAGUAAGGCCAGCAGGGGGUGCUCACCCUGUGGUCUGUGUGGGUCCUAACACCCCAGUGUAGUGACGGGUACACUAUACUGACAAAUAGCAAUGUCUUUCGGAUGAGACGUUAAACUGAUGUCCUGACUCUCUGUGGUCAUUAAAAAUCCCAGGAUGUCCUUUGAAAAAGAGUAGGGGUGUAACCCCGGUGUCCUGGCCAAAUUCGCCCACUGGCCUCUUAACCAUCCCCAUAUCUGCUGAUUGGCUUCAUCACUCUGUCUCCUCUCCACCAAUAAGCGGGUGUGUGGUGGUUCUUCUGGCGUGAUAUGGCUGCCGUCGCAUCAUCCAGGUGCACACUGCUCUUUGAGUGCCCAGAAAAGCGGUAUAUAAAUAUAAGAAAUUAUUAUUAUUAUUUAUCUUGCUGCAAGUUGUUCUGUGACUGUCACUGGGUGCUGGAGCAGCUUGUCUAGCAACUCCUGAUAUUUUGAUAUAUUUCAAAUUUUAUGAUAUAAAAUAUCAUAGCUUUGAUCUAGUUCAAAG
ensembl:lncRNA